GUUCCGGAACCUGACCUGAGCUGGGGCCUGUGCUUCCAGCGGGUGGUGGGGGGCCUGGUGUGCUGGCAUCAAGUAAGCCGACUACCUCGGCAAAGGCUUAGGGACAAGAGACCAGCAGCCUGAACUGGCUGGGGCAUCCGGAAGGCUUAGAUCUUGUGGCCAAGAGUUCAGACCGUGGCGAAGUGGAGAGUGACAUGCAGUUGGAUGGCGGUGACUGCGUGCAUUCCACAAUCACGGGCUACUUCAAUUCUGCCUGCUGAGCUGAUUUAAUAAUCUGGAAGAGGAUUAUUC
rnacentral:lncRNA from 10 species